AGGAAGAGGCGGUAAAAAUAGUGAGAGAAAGACAGAGGGAGAGAAAGAAAGAGAAGCAGAGAAAAGAGGGGACAGGGCAUGACUGACUGGAUGGAGGGAAGGUUUCAGGAGGAAAACAGGGGGAGACAAACUGUAUGGGGAGGAGGAUAGGAGAAGAGGAGGAGAGGAGAAGAGAAGAAGAAAGAGUGUCGCCCGUCUUCCCCACUUUUCCUCUUGGUAUUUAUACCUGUGUUUCUGUCUGUCUGUGCCAGUUCGUCUUGUUUGUCAAACUUACCAGCGUUUACCCUCUCAGCUCCUGUCUUUUCCCAGUCUCUCUUUUUCUUAUCCUCCUGGUUUUUGACCCUUCCCUGUC